rnacentral:rRNA from 1 species
UACAGAGGUCUCAAGCGUUGUUCGGAUUCAUUGGGCGUAAAGGGUGCGUAGGCGGCGCGGUAAGUCGGGUGUGAAAUCUCGGAGCUUAACUCCGAAACUGCAUUCGAUACUGCCGUGCUUGAGGACUGGAGAGGAGACUGGAAUUUACGGUGUAGCGGUGAAAUGCUUAGAUAUCGUCAAGAACACCUAUAGCGAAGGCAGCUUACUAAGCUUUAACUGACACUGAUGCACGAAAGUGUGGGGAUCAAACAGG